rnacentral:rRNA from 1 species
AUUGAACGCUGGCGGCAGGCCUAACACAUGCAAGUCGAGCGGAUGAAGGGAGCUUGCUCCUGGAUUCAGCGGCGGACGGGUGAGUAAUGCCUAGGAAUCUGCCUGGUAGUGGGGGAUAACGUCCGGAAACGGGCGCUAAUACCGCAUACGUCCUGAGGGAGAAAGUGGGGGAUCUUCGGACCUCACGCUAUCAGAUGAGCCUAGGUCGGAUUAGCUAGUUGGUGGGGUAAAGGCCUACCAAGGCGACGAUCCGUAACUGGUCUGAGAGGAUGAUCAGUCACAUUGGAACUGAGACACGGUCCAGACUCCUACGGGAGGCAGCAGUGUGGAAUAUUGGACAAUGGGCGAAAGCCUGAUCCAGCCAUGCCGCGUGUGUGAAGAAGGUCUUCGGAUUGUAAAGCACUUUAAGUUGGGAGGAAGGGCAGUAAGUUAAUACCUUGCUGUUUUGACGUUACCAACAGAAUAAGCACCGGCUAACUUCGUG